rnacentral:rRNA from 1 species
UACGUAGGGUGCGAGCGUUAAUCGGAAUUACUGGGCGUAAAGCGUGCGCAGGCGGUUUUGUAAGACAGACGUGAAAUCCCCGGGCUCAACCUGGGAAUGGCGUUUGUGACUGCAAAGCUGGAGUGCGGCAGAGGGGGAUGGAAUUCCGCGUGUAGCAGUGAAAUGCGUAGAUAUGCGGAGGAACACCGAUGGCGAAAGGCAAUCCCCUGGGCCUGCACUGACGCUCAUGCACGAAAAGCGUGGGGAGCAAAACAGG